rnacentral:lncRNA from 1 species
GAAGAAGAAAAAUGGCCAUCAGACUAGAGAAAGGAAUUGAUUUGCAAGAUCUCCAAGAAGGGCGAUUAAACAGAUUGUAACAACUGGAACGCAGUUUCUCUUUUACAGGUUCUCAGUAAAAUAUUUUGCAUAAUGCUGAUAGAAAGAAAAAGAAGGAAUAGACAAAAGAUUACAGAAUGAGCAGGCAGGUUUUAGAUAAAAAAGAGGAACAACCGAACAGAGGUUUAUCCUUCAAAACAUACUUGAGCGAACAAAGGAAUGGAGGUCAGCUUUAUUCAUACUUUUUAUAGAUUUAUUAAAAAAACAUUUGACUCAGUCCACCGAGAGAGUCGAUGGAAGAUUAUGAAGAACUAUGGAAUACCAAGCAAGAUCAUAAAAACCAUAAAGAAAAUAUAUACAGG